GAGGUGGUAGCCUGGCAGGGUAGAGGGCACGCCGACCUGGCGACCUCACGGUGGAAAGGGGAAGGGGAGCGAGAGGGCCCGGGGGAGCGGACGGGACGGCGGCACGGCAUGAAGAGGAGCCGCCGAGGGUCAGGGUUAGCGGAGGGGCGGGAGGGUGCUGUCGCCGAGGGUCAUCCGUCAUCGGGGGGAUCGGUGGGGGCUGCCGCUGAGGGUGAUAGGUGGGGUGGGUGUUUGGGUUAGGGGUAAGGUGCGCGCAGCGGGGGGUAGCGGCAAGGUGAAGUUGGAGUAGCGCAGGGGCGGCAGACGUGAGGCAGGUGUUAAAGCCGAUAGCCUAAGGCUCUCUAUUAAAACUACACCAGCUAGCUCUGGCUUUAGACUCAAACGAACCUCCUCGGACCACUCCAGGAUACGACGGAAGCGUCCUACUUUCCGCCACAAGACGUAUCCGAGGAACAGUUGUUCGAUACGAACCCGGAAAAUAAUCAAGAGGAGCAACACGGCUAACAGUAAAACAACGACCCGUGUUGAGGUCUUGUCGACUUUGAAGAGAGGGUUCCAAAGGAUGUCGUCGUACCUGACCUUGUAUAACCUCUAUUACAUAGUCGAGAUCAACACGGACGUCCAGGUCGAAUAUUGCUGCUGUGAGUGUGCUCAUAUUGGUCUGCCUUGUUUACCUUGUUUCUGACAUUGAUACGUUUCCCUUUCACCCACCGUCUACUCUUUGCCGGUGAGAUAAGUCCAUUACUCACGUUCGUUACCGACAGGUUUUACACCCGAACAGCUUACUACGUUGCGUGUCUAAAGAAGAUACUCUCAAUGGCCACCGUCGGCGUGCCAACACUCUACGGACUCAAAAGUCCAGGAUUGAACAACUCGUCCGACUCCGUAUUUUGAGAACGAAAACACCCACUAAGGGAGCCCUCUGUCGUUAAAGUCAGGUAGUACACAUAUCGUUGUCCACCAUUUAUGUCGGGUCUACAACUUCUACAACCAACCUUUAUACCGGAACAGUUUCGAGGUCCACGAAACUCUGGACUACCCACCCGAAUAGCUAAAGGUCUCUGAUUGUGGUGAUAGGAAAUGAUGACCAGACGAUCGGAUAGACUUGACCUUGGAAACUUGUGUUGUUUAAGUCACUGAUCGAUACGCAACGUAGAACUAGCCGGUCAUUGUAAGAACUUCUUCAUAAAGGUACCAAAACUACAAGAUCAUGACUUGUGACCAGUAGUGACCUUGUCUCCCUUUAAGUUACCUUUAGUAACCCUUAACAUACGGUUACCCCUCGGACAUCCCUUUCCAGCUGAACGUCUAGAGUUGGCACGUUUCUUAGAAUGUGACAUAUCGUAACGGUCCACCCACCUAAGUCUUGAGCGUUCGGCAGGAGUCUACUUUCGAAAAGACUCCUGUUACAGUGGCUCCGUAAAACAUUUACCGCUAACCUUGUGACCACCUUCAACACCAUUAUCGCAAGGGAAAAGAUUACCUUCGCUCCAGAACGUCCUAGUAAGUUCACUGAACGGACGUCUCGCACGACAUUUACCUUGAGUCCAAUUCGAAAACCUAUAAUGAAGAUGCAGUGUUGAUGCUCUACUCCCCGUGUAGAGUUUAGCAUGAAAGUCUCGAGGUUGUCCGUAAGUACUAACGAACGUGACCACGGAAGGACCAUAUGGUCUAUACACCUUACUCGAGGAGAAACGUGUCUAAAUCAUGGACAUAUGACGUGAACUCAUUCCCGUAAAAAGAGGGUCUCCGGGUUCUUAGAUAAUUACAAGGGCGACCACUAGACAUGUCCCACUUGACGAAACAUGGUCACAAUAAACACUUGGUAGGUACGCGUCCGCCACAAAAACCAGUAGGUAGGUACGCAACCACCAAUUGUCACAGUUCUACUAUCGUAAGAAAUGUGACAUAAUGUCAACCAAAGUCUAAGGAUCGGGGCAGAGUCUGGUCUAUGCCAUAAUCAACGAUGUCUCGUUAUAUACAUCACGAGGGGUCCGUGCAGUUUGGAAGGAAAAGAAAUGACAUUUUACGGUAAUAGGUCAAGUGUUACACGUCGUAUAUAAGACAUUUUUACAAGUAUGUUUAACUGGUUUCACUGUAUACAAAAAGUCUAAUAUUUCACCUUGAAGACCAACUACAGACAGAGAAUAGGUACACUAACAGGUCACAUUAACUAAAUAGAAAGUCGUCGCAUGAUGAAGGAACCAUGAUGCAAACAAGAGCUUAUUAGUUUACCGAGUCCGAACGAUGUUUGUAUCCACCAAGCCCCGACUGUUUACCGUAUACGUCACUACAGUCAAAAAGUCCUUUUUCCUACUUUUCUUGUAUCCUUAUUCGUAACUUGGAUUGGUUCGUAGUUAGACGUUGAUCCAUCCUAAACCGUUACGAAGGAAACGUAGUAUGAUCGAAACCAAGUCUAAGGAUCGAAGACCCUAAUCACACCUUAAUCGACGCAUUUUAGCUGCAACUUCGAUCACAUUUUUACCAUGUCAAAACGUACACAUAGUAUAUAAAACAUUUAUUCGAGUAUGUUCAUAUGUUAAACUGGUUUC
rnacentral:rRNA from 1 species